CGCAGCUUUUUUCAGUUUACGAUCGUGAAAUUGAAGGAGUAAUAAGUGGGUGUUGGUCAAAAUCGACUUCGAUCUGGCUUUAAAGCCAAGCCUAGUAAAGAAAAAUAUUUCGAAGGAAAGGAAAGAUGCGCGUCCAGUAACCCGACAGCACAAAAUUAGGAUCCAAGCUCCUCGCGGCUAGACGAAAACUAUGACGACGUCGAGUGUCACGAUGGCGAUGGCGAUGGCGAUGGCGAUGGCGGUGGCGAUGGCGAAGGUGAUGGUGAUGGCGAUGUCGAUGUCGAUAGCAGCGACGACGAUGACGACGACAUCAACAAAGAUGAUAAGAAUAGCAUACAGUAACAGAACUAUAUCUCAAACAUUAUCGGCUUGAUGGAACAGGGAGCUAA